rnacentral:rRNA from 1 species
UACGUAGGGGGCAAGCGUUGUCCGGAAUUAUUGGGCGUAAAGAGCGUGUAGGCGGCCAGAUAAGUCCGCUGUGAAAUCUCGAGGCUCAACUUCGAGCUGUCGGUGGAAACUAUCUGGCUAGAGUCCGGAAGAGGAGAAUGGAAUUCCUGGUGUAGCGGUGAAAUGCGCAGAUAUCAGGAGGAACACCGGUGGCGAAGGCGGCAUCCUGGACCGGUAUUGACGCUGAGGCGCGGAAAGCCAGGGGAGCAAACGGG